CCAAUAGCGUAUAUUAAAGUUGUUGCAGUUAAAAAGCUCGUAGUUGAAUUUCGGGGUUAGUAGGUUGGUCAUGCCUCUGGUAUGUACUGGUCUCACUGAUUCCUCCUUCCUGAUGAGCCGUAAUGCCAUUAAUUUGGUGUUGCGGGGAAUUUGGACUGUUACUUUGAAAAAAUUAGAGUGUUUAAAGCAAGCUAACGCUUGAAUACAUUAGCAUGGAAUAAUGAAAUAGGACGUUCGAUCCUAUUUUAUUGGUUUCUAGGAUUGACGUAAUGAUUAAUAGGGAUAGUUGGGGGCAUUAGUAUUCAAUUGUCAGAGGUGAAAUUCUUGGAUUUAUUGAAGACUAACUACUGCGAAAGCAUUUGCCAAGGAUGUUUUCAUUAAUCAAGAACGAAAGUUAGGGGAUCGAAGACGAUCAGAUACCGUCGUAGUCUUAACCAUAAACUAUGCCGACUAGGGAUCGGAUGAUGUUAAUUUUUUAAUGACUCAUUCGG
rnacentral:rRNA from 1 species